UUCCAGCUGAAAAGUCCCAAAUAAGACGAAACACACGUCCUGGAU
rfam:Schistosoma rodhaini strain Burundi genome assembly, scaffold: SROB_scaffold0012597